AGCCGGUGAUGACAAAUCAAAUUACUUUUCUGACACCUACUAUGAGAGCUGAACUCCAGCUCCUGAUUCUAACUUUUUCCCCCUGAGGCUU